GGUUAAGUGACUAAGCGUACACGGUGGAUGCCUUGGCAGUCAGAGGCGAUGAAAGACGUAGUAACUUGCGAUAAGCCCAGAUUAGGUAGUAACAACCAUUUGAGUCUGGGAUUUCUGAAUGGGGAAACCCACGUGCAUAAGCACGUAUCCUUACCUGAAUACAUAGGGUAAGGAGGCGAACCGGGGGAACUGAAACAUCUAAGUACCCCGAGGAAAAGAAAUCAACCGAGAUUCCGAAAGUAGCGGCGAGCGAAAUUGGACUAGCCCUUAAGCUUUACACGCGUUAGACGAACGGUCUGGAAAGUCCGACGAUACAGGGUGAUAGUCCCGUAGUUGACGACGUGUGUUCAGUGAAAUCGAGUAGGGCGGGACACGUGAUAUCCUGUCUGAAUAUGGGGGGACCAUCCUCCAAGGCUAAAUACUACUGACUGACCGAUAGUGAACCAGUACCGUGAGGGAAAGGCGAAAAGAACCCCUGUGAGGGGAGUGAAAUAGAACCUGAAACCGUGUACGUACAAGCAGUAGGAGCAGGCUUUGUCCUGUGACUGCGUACCUUUUGUAUAAUGGGUCAGCGACUUAUAUUCAGUGGCAAGGUUAACCAUCUAGGGGAGCCGUAGGGAAACCGAGUCUUAACUGGGCGUUCAGUCUCUGGAUAUAGACCCGAAACCAGGUGAUCUAGCCAUGGGCAGGUUGAAGGUUGAGUAACAUCAACUGGAGGACCGAACCGACUAAUGUUGAAAAAUUAGCGGAUGACUUGUGGCUAGGGGUGAAAGGCCAAUCAAACCUGGAGAUAGCUGGUUCUCCCCGAAAGCUAUUUAGGUAGCGCCUCGGACGAAUACUACUGGGGGUAGAGCGCUGUUAAGGCUAGGGGGUCAUCCCGACUUACCAACCCUUUGCAAACUCCGAAUACCAGUAAGUACUAUCCGGGAGACACACGGCGGGUGCUAACGUCCGUCGUGGAGAGGGAAACAACCCAGACCGCCAGCUAAAGUCCCAAAUUACUACUAAGUGGGAAACGAUGUGGGAAAGCUCAGACAGCCAGGAUGUUGGCUUAGAAGCAGCCAUCAUUUAAAGAAAGCGUAAUAGCUCACUGGUCGAGUCGGCCUGCGCGGAAGAUGUAACGGGGCUAAGUAGUAAACCGAAGCUGCGGCAAUGUGCUUUUGCACAUUGGGUAGGGGAGCGUUCUGUAAGCGGUUGAAGGUGUGUGGUAACGCAUGCUGGACGUAUCAGAAGUGCGAAUGCUGACAUGAGUAACGAUAAAGGGGGUGAAAAACCUCCUCGCCGGAAGACCAAGGGUUCCUGUCCAACGUUAAUCGGGGCAGGGUAAGUCGACCCCUAAGGCGAGGCCGAAAGGCGUAGUCGAUGGGAAACGGGUUAAUAUUCCCGUACUUCUUACAAUUGCGAUGGGGGGACGGAGAAGGCUAGGUGGGCCUGGCGACGGUUGUCCAGGUUCAAGUGCGUAGGCUUGAGAGUUAGGUAAAUCCGGCUCUUUUUAAGGCUGAGACACGACGUCGAGCCACUACGGUGGUGAAGUCAUUGAUGCCAUGCUUCCAGGAAAAGCCUCUAAGCUUCAGAUUGUAAGGAAUCGUACCCCAAACCGACACAGGUGGUCGGGUAGAGAAUACCAAGGCGCUUGAGAGAACUCGGGUGAAGGAACUAGGCAAAAUGGUACCGUAACUUCGGGAGAAGGUACGCUCUCGACGGUGAAGUCCCUCGCGGAUGGAGCUAUUGAGAGUCGCAGAUACCAGGUGGCUGCAACUGUUUAUUAAAAACACAGCACUGUGCAAAAUCGUAAGAUGACGUAUACGGUGUGACGCCUGCCCGGUGCCGGAAGGUUAAUUGAUGGGGUUAGACUUCGGUCGAAGCUCUUGAUCGAAGCCCCGGUAAACGGCGGCCGUAACUAUAACGGUCCUAAGGUAGCGAAAUUCCUUGUCGGGUAAGUUCCGACCUGCACGAAUGGCGUAAUGAUGGCCACGCUGUCUCCACCCGAGACUCAGUGAAAUUGAAAUCGCUGUGAAGAUGCAGUGUACCCGCGGCUAGACGGAAAGACCCCGUGAACCUUUACUACAGCUUGGCACUGAACAUUGACCCUACAUGUGUAGGAUAGGUGGGAGGCUUUGAAGCACGUACGCCAGUAUGUGUGGAGCCGUCCUUGAAAUACCACCCUUGUAGUGUUGAUGUUCUAACGUCGACCCCUUAUCGGGGUUGCGGACAGUGCCUGGUGGGUAGUUUGACUGGGGCGGUCUCCUCCCAAAGAGUAACGGAGGAGCACGAAGGUGGGCUAAUCACGGUUGGACAUCGUGAGGUUAGUGCAAUGGCAUAAGCCCGCUUGACUGCGAGAAUGACAAUUCGAGCAGGUGCGAAAGCAGGUCAUAGUGAUCCGGUGGUUCUGAAUGGAAGGGCCAUCGCUCAACGGAUAAAAGGUACUCCGGGGAUAACAGGCUGAUACCGCCCAAGAGUUCAUAUCGACGGCGGUGUUUGGCACCUCGAUGUCGGCUCAUCACAUCCUGGGGCUGAAGUCGGUCCCAAGGGUAUGGCUGUUCGCCAUUUAAAGUGGUACGCGAGCUGGGUUUAGAACGUCGUGAGACAGUUCGGUCCCUAUCUGCCGUGGGCGUUGGAAGAUUGAAGGGGGCUGCUCCUAGUACGAGAGGACCGGAGUGGACGAACCUCUGGUGUUCGGGUUGUGUCGCCAGACGCAUUGCCCGGUAGCUAAGUUCGGAAUCGAUAACCGCUGAAAGCAUCUAAGCGGGAAGCGAGCCCUGAGAUGAGUCUUCCCUGAUACUUUAAGUAUCCUAAAGGGUUGUCGGAGACUACGACGUUGAUAGGUCAGGUGUGUAAGUGCUGUGAGGCAUUGAGCUAACUGAUACUAAUUGCCCGUGAGGCUUAACCAU
rnacentral:rRNA from 1 species